CCUACGGGAGGCAGCAGUGAGGAAUAUUGGUCAAUGGACGAGAGUCUGAACCAGCCAAGUAGCGUGAAGGAUGUCUGCCCUAUGGGUUGUAAACUUCUUUUAUAAAGGAAUAAAACGAGGCACGUGUGCCUUUUUGCAUGUACUUUAUGAAUAAGGAUCGGCUAACUUCGUGCCAGCAGCCGCGGUAAUCCGGAGGAUCCGAGCGUUAUCCGGAUUUUUUGGGUUUAAAGGGCGCGUAGAUGGGUUGUUAAGUCAGUUGUGAAAGUUUGCGGCUAAACCGUAAAAUUGCAAUUGAUACUGGCAGUCUUGAGUACAGUUGAGGUAGGCGGAAUUCGUGGUGUAGCGGUGAAAUGCUUAGAUAUCACGAAGAACCCCGAUUGCGAAGGCAGCUUACUAAACUGUGACUGACAUUGAUGCUCGAAAGUGUGGGUAUCAAACAGGAUUAGAUACCCGAGUAGUC
rnacentral:rRNA from 1 species